rnacentral:sRNA from 1 species
CCGUAGAUGUUGCAGACGUUCCUUUCAAGAGGAAAAAAAAUCUAUUACGUCCUAGCCCAUACAUCCUGCAGGACGGCAGUGGGCGGUCAGGGUACGAACCCAGGACUACCGUGAUGAUAGAUCAGAGCGCAUACCAUACGACCAGCCAGCUACCCACAAAGAAAGCUAGUAUCAUUAUGGUUGCUGUGUGUGUGUGUUGUUGUUGUUGUUUAUUUGAAAACUAAUUAGUAAUUGUGGUAAAAUUCGAUUUAGAUUAUCGACUUCAUUCAAGGCGUAUCUAUUUUUCUAUGCCCUUGAAAGAUGGGACUGCUAAAAAAAUUGUGCACAUUUGUUCUUGAAACGGAACAAUAGUCAGCUUCAGUUUACAAUCUAGACAAAAGUAGAUUGAUUUAUUUCUACAAUAUUCCAGACGUUUCGCUUAUAUGUACGUACAUACGUGUGUGGUACAUAAGACAAAAUUCGUAGGAUAACAGAUGAGCACAUGCAAAUAGCAAGGUAAAGGGCAUAUUAGAAAAUGGCUAUCGUUAUGUUACAUGUAAUGACCUUUGACCUACCUGAGUGAUUGACCUUACGGCGAAGGGAUCCAUUGAGAAAUCUUCUGCAAUGAACUUCUGUUCAAUCAAUGGGGGGAAAAAAAGCUCAGCAAACUAUAUAUCCGACAAAGCAGAACACCUUGAUCUACGAUGGUCCUUUAGCCAAGGAUGAAGCACACCCAAACAAGAAGCCACGAAAUCAAAGGAAACACAAAGAGUUCUCCCGAUGCUCCAACAUGAGAGCACCGCUCUGGGCUGGAACCUUCCAAAAUGAACUGAAAACGGUGUAUUAACGAAAACAAUACUAACACGGCCAAAAGGUCGACCUUGCUUAGGCCAACUGCCGUUCAAACUACGGUCCUCUAUUACUAAUGCCUGUGACUAACUAGGCCCUACGACAUGGACCGAGCACAGGGUAAAGAAGAAGUGAGGGGGGUGGUGGUGGCGGUGGUGAAUAAAGUCAUUUCUGAACUAAUCUAAAUAGAAGAAGCAAGAGAAGUAUAUUGGGCUAAAGUAGAACGAUCGUAUGUCACGCAGACGGCGAUGUGGAUGGCUGUGGCGGAGGAUCGCACCUGGGGGACACGCUGUAUCCUUAUUGGUGGGUGAACCUACACACGAGCAAACCUACACUGGUAACAGGGUGAUGAACCAUGAAGUCUUAGUAACUUUCUAUGACAUGCAGGUCGUGUCUUAUCAAGAACAAAGUCAAUAAGUUUCCUAUGUCUAGAUCUCUGAACCAAGCGAGCCCUAUGUCAACAAAGGUAAUGAGAGAUUUGAAUGAACCGAUUUGAGACCGAGCUCUUUAUUAACAAGAUAAGGUUACAACUGGCCAUAAUUGGCACUGCUGUGCAUGUUACUGGUCAUGUUAACAGAAUUGCAUUUCACCUACUUCAAAAUGUAGGCAGAGAAGUGGCGACAAAUACAAUGAAACAGAUGAUAGACGUAGGCCUGGUCGAGUGCAAUGUACUUCCAACUACUAUUACAAUGGUCCCGAGUUCGAAACCUGCUCGCCGCCAUUGCAAGUUUGGGCUAGUACAAGUGGGUCGUGGUAGCUGAGCCCGUAAAUCACUUGGCUUGCCAACUUUGAAAAGAAGUAAAGCCUAAAAGGGAGGUACAGUUGAUUUUACUUCUAUUGAAGCCAAUGAUCUGCUUACAUAGUAUGUGAAUAU